rnacentral:rRNA from 1 species
AUACGAAGGGUGCAAGCGUUAAUCGGAAUUACUGGGCGUAAAGCGCGCGUAGGUGGUUUUGUAAGUUGGAGGUGAAAGCCCCGGGCUCAACCUGGGAAUUGCCUCCAAAACUGCAUGACUAGAGUACGGUAGAGGGUAGUGGAAUUUCCUGUGUAGCGGUGAAAUGCGUAGAUAUAGGAAGGAACACCAGUGGCGAAGGCGAAUACCUGGACUGAUACUGACACUGAGGUGCGAAGGCGUGGGGAGCAAACAGGAUUAGAUACCCUGGUAGUCCACGCCGUAAACGAUGUCAACUAGCCGUUGGGAUCCUUGAGAUCUUAGUGGCGCAGCUAACGCAUUAAGUUGACCGCCUGGGGAGUACGGCCGCAAGGUUAAAACUCAAAGGAAUUGACGGGG